UUUAAUUCGAAGCAACGCGCAGAACCUUACCAGCCUUUGACAUGUCCGGUUUGGAUCCUGGAGACAGGUUCCUUCAGUUCGGCUGGCCGGAACACAGGUGCUGCAUGGCUGUCGUCAGCUCGUGUCGUGAGAUGUUGGGUUAAGUCCCGCAACGAGCGCAACCCUCGCCCCUAGUUGCCAUCAUUCAGUUGGGCACUCUAGGGGGACUGCCGGUGAUAAGCCGAGAGGAAGGUGGGGAUGACGUCAAGUCCUCAUGGCCCUUACGGGCUGGGCUACACACGUGCUACAAUGGCGGUGACAAUGGGCAGCUAACCCGCGAGGGUACGCUAAUCCCAAAAAGCCGUCUCAGUUCGGAUUGCACUCUGCAACUCGAGUGCAUUAAGGUGGAAUCGCUAGUAAUCGUGGAUCAGAACGCCA
rnacentral:rRNA from 1 species